rnacentral:misc_RNA from 1 species
GGAAGGAUCAUUAGUGAUUGUGAAUCGUUGCCUUCGGUGCUGGCUCCUGAGCAAGUGCACGUUGGUGACUUUCAUCCAUUACCCUGUGCACCUUUGGCCUCUUGUUGGCUUCGGCUGAUGGAGGAUUUUACACAUAAACUCGAAUGUAAUGAAAACUACUGUCGUGCGCAAGCACUAAUGUACAACUUUCAACAACGGAUCUCUUGGCUCUCGCAUCGAUGAAGAACGCAGCGAAAUGCGAUAAGUAAUGUGAAUUGCAGAAUUCAGUGAAUCAUCGAAUCUUUGAACGCACCUUGCACCCUUUGGUAUUCCGAAGGGUAUGCUCGUUUGA